rnacentral:rRNA from 1 species
CCUACGGGCCGCACCAGUGGGGAAUAUUGCACAAUGGGCGAAAGCCUGAUGCAGCAACGCCGCGUGAGCGAUGAAGGCCUUCGGGUCGUAAAGCUCUGUCCUCAAGGAAGAUAAUGACGGUACUUGAGGAGGAAGCCCCGGUUAACUACGUGCCAGCAGCCGCGGUAAUACGUAGGGAGCUAGCGUUAUCCGGAAUAACUGGGCGUAAAGGGUGCGUAGGUGGUUUCUUAAGUCAGAGGUGAAAGGCUACGGCUCAACCGUAGUAAGCCUUUGAAACUGGGAAACUUGAGUGCAGGAGAGGAGAGUGGAAUUCCUAGUGUAGCGGUGAAAUGCGUAGAUAUUAGGAGGAACACCAGUUGCGAAGGCGGCUCUCUGGACUGUAACUGACACUGAGGCACGAAAGCGUGGGGAGCAAACAGGAUUAGAUACCCUCGUAGUC